rnacentral:misc_RNA from 1 species
AAACAUGGAUGUUAGCUGGAAGCAUAUAAAAAUAAAAUUAUUUACAGAAGUUGAAAUAGAGUUCAAUAUGGUAAACUUCUAUUGCCUUUUCAUGGCUCCAACAUUAGAUUGGAUCCAAUGGUAACAAUUGAAACUUGAUGAAAGGGAAAGGGUCGAAUAUACAAGUGCUUCUACUUCUCCCUAUGGCUUUCACUACCUCAUUUUGACAAAUGGCGCUGUUCCUAAACUUUUAAGUCUCACAUAUGCUAAAAGGCCUGAGAUUUGUUUUUGUAGUAGAAUUUGCGGAUGAGGGGUUUUAAUGUACAUGGGGGAGUGAGCUAAAAUCUUUUCAAGAAUAGGACCUAACCAAUCCAAAGUUAACAAAAGAUCUUGACUUGAAGAGACCACCAAAGAGAAACCUAGUAGGUGAUUCCUGAGAUGCUGGUUUCAGCUCAUCAGGAUUGCCCUUCACCUUAAGUAUUGUCUGGCCAAUUACUUGCCUGAUGGAAUCUAUGGUCUUAGCAUCAACAGGAUACCCUGACGCAUCACGAACAUAAAAUGUAUUGAUAGCUUUGCCAUCUCUAGUUGUCACUUCUGCUCUGGUCACUGUAAGGCUAUUUUCUCGAAAGAUGCGAGUAACAUCAGAUAGCAGCCCAAUUCUGUCAGUUGUGCAUAGCUCUAGCUUCAAACCCUCAGAUACUCUUCUCUCAAUAGCUGCUUCAAGACAUUGUAUAACCCUCUGUCUUUCAGCAUCUGAUUUCACAGGGGAUCCAUCUAUAUGUCUGAUAUAAUAUUCCUGAUAAGCCUCCUGCCCCUCAGCAUCGAUAUUGGCAUGAAAAACUACAUAUUCCAUGUCUGUCAAAGUGCAGACUGUAUCAAAAAGAAGUUUUGGCCUAUCUUU